UGUUUCACUUUCUGCCUGUUAC
rnacentral:siRNA from 1 species